CAGCGGACGACCGCUGUCGUAUAGAAGUUCACGGGACGGCCCGU
rnacentral:ncRNA from 1 species